UGCAAUGGCAUAAGCCAGCUUGACUGCGAGCGUGACGGCGCGAGCAGGUGCGAAAGCAGGUCAUAGUGAUCCGGUGGUUCUGAAUGGAAGGGCCAUCGCUCAACGGAUAAAAGGUACUCCGGGGAUAACAGGCUGAUACCGCCCAAGAGUUCAUAUCGACGGCGGUGUUUGGCACCUCGAUGUCGGCUCAUCACAUCCUGGGGCUGAAGUAGGUCCCAAGGGUAUGGCUGUUCGCCAUUUAAAGUGGUACGCGAGCUGGGUUUAGAACGUCGUGAGACAGUUCGGUCCCUAUCUGCCGUGGGCGCUGGAGAACUGAGGGGGGCUGCUCCUAGUACGAGAGGACCGGAGUGGACGCAUCACUGGUGUUCGGGUUGUCAUGCCAAUGGCACUGCCCGGUAGCUAAAUGCGGAAGAGAUAAGUGCUGAAAGCAUCUAA
rnacentral:rRNA from 1 species